rnacentral:misc_RNA from 1 species
AAAUCUCAACCUCCUCGGUUUCUUCUGGAGAUCAAAGGAGGCUUGGACUUUGGAGGCCUUUGCUGGCAUCUCUCCUUUGAAAACAAAGGUGGCCAGCUCCUCUUGAAUGAAUUAGCGGGGUCCUCUUUGCCGAUCCUCGACACGUGAUAAGAUGUUUCCGUGUCUCGGUUUCUGGCUCUGUCGCUUUUGGGACCCGCUUCCAACCGUCUCGACGUCGAGACAACGUUCGAGCCCGUUUGCCGUUCUCGGGAAACGCUCUCGACCCCACGAAC